UCACCCCUCAAGCCCCGUGCUUGGUGUUGGACGGCUUGGUCGAGUCACCUCGACCCCUCCUAAAGAUAACGACGGCGGCCUGUGGUUCCCCCGGUACACUGAGCUUUUAACUGAGCACGUAUCGGAUGAGGGUGCCCGGGACCCCGGUCUCCUCCUUUCAUUAGGAACAUUUUUUCAA
rnacentral:misc_RNA from 1 species